rnacentral:rRNA from 1 species
CGAAUGCUGACAUAAGUAACGAUAAAGCGGGUGAAAAGCCCGCUCGCCGGAAGACCAAGGGUUCCUGUCCAACGUUAAUCGGGGCAGGGUGAGUCGACCCCUAAGGCGAGGCCGAAAGGCGUAGUCGAUGGGAAACAGGUUAAUAUUCCUGUACUUGGUGUUACUGCGAAGGGGGGACGGAGAAGGCUAUGUUGGCCGGGCGACGGUUGUCCCGGUUUAAGCGUGUAGGCUGGUUUUCCAGGCAAAUCCGGAAAAUCAAGGCUGAGGCGUGAUGACGAGGCACUACGGUGCUGAAGCAACAAAUGCCCUGCUUCCAGGAAAAGCCUCUAAGCAUCAGGUAACAUCAAAUCGUACCCCAAACCGACACAGGUGGUCAGGUAGAGAAUACCAAGGCGCUUGAGAGAACUCGGGUGAAGGAACUAGGCAAAAUGGUGCCGUAACUUCGGGAGAAGGCACGCUGAUAUGUAGGUGAAGUCCCUCGCGGAUGGAGCUGAAAUCAGUCGAAGAUACCAGCUGGCUGCAACUGUUUAUUAAAAACACAGCACUGUGCAAACACGAAAGUGGACGUAUACGGUGUGACGCCUGCCCGGUGCCGGAAGGUUAAUUGAUGGGGUCAGCGCAAGCGAAGCUCUUGAUCGAAGCCCCGGUAAACGGCGGCCGUAACUAUAACGGUCCUAAGGUAGCGAAAUUCCUUGUCGGGUAAGUUCCGACCUGCACGAAUGGCGUAAUGAUGGCCAGGCUGUCUCCACCCGAGACUCAGUGAAAUUGAACUCGCUGUGAAGAUGCAGUGUACCCGCGGCAAGACGGAAAGACCCCGUGAACCUUUACUAUAGCUUGACACUGAACAUUGAGCCUUGAUGUGUAGGAUAGGUGGGAGGCUUUGAAGUGUGGACGCCAGUCUGCAUGGAGCCGACCUUGAAAUACCACCCUUUAAUGUUUGAUGUUCUAACGUUGACCCGUGAUCCGGGUUGCGGACAGUGUCUGGUGGGUAGUUUGACUGGGGCGGUCUCCUCCUAAAGAGUAACGGAGGAGCACGAAGGUUGGCUAAUCCUGGUCGGACAUCAGGAGGUUAGUGCAAUGGCAUAAGCCAGCUUGACUGCGAGCGUGACGGCGCGAGCAGGUGCGAAAGCAGGUCAUAGUGAUCCGGUGGUUCUGAAUGGAAGGGCCAUCGCUCAACGGAUAAAAGGUACUCCGGGGAUAACAGGCUGAUACCGCCCAAGAGUUCAUAUCGACGGCGGUGUUUGGCACCUCGAUGUCGGCUCAUCACAUCCUGGGGCUGAAGUAGGUCCCAAGGGUAUGGCUGUUCGCCAUUUAAAGUGGUACGCGAGCUGGGUUUAGAACGUCGUGAGACAGUUCGGUCCCUAUCUGCCGUGGGCGCUGGAGAAUUGAGGGGGGCUGCUCCUAGUACGAGAGGACCGGAGUGGACGCAUCACUGGUGUUCGGGUUGUCAUGCCAAUGGCACUGCCCGGUAGCUAAAUGCGGAAGAGAUAAGUGCUGAAAGCAUCUAAGCACGAAACUUGCC